rnacentral:tRNA from 2 species
AGGGGUGUAGCUCAAUUGGUAGAGUGUCCGACUGUUAAUCGGAAGGUUGGUGGUUCGAGUCCACCCGCCCCUGCCA